rnacentral:misc_RNA from 1 species
AACGCACGAGACCUGCGGACCUGCGGAGGGAUCAUUACAGAGUUCUUGCCCCAACAUGGGGUAGACCUCCAAACCCCCUGUGCGUACCAAUACCUUUGUUGCUUUGGCAGGCCGCCCGGGUGAGGGGGGUGGCACUCCUGAGUCUGGCUACCGGCUUAGGCUGGUAUGCGCCUGCCAGAGGCCCAAAAAACCCUAUGUUUCUGAACGAGCAUCGUCCGAGAGAAGAAAGAAUGGUCAAAA